GACUUCAAGGUAUAUUGUUUGUCAGCAACGCCGAGGUAAGGUUCGUACGAACCUUGCAAUUUGCCUUGGUUGUUUUUGUUUGUUGUCCAUACCCGUUUUUAAGGCCCAUUAAAAAAUAUCGACUCAUUUUUUCGUUUCAGAAGAGAGCAGAAGUCUGACCGUCUGAAAAAAACGUCCAUCAUCUGUAUAUAAAAAAAGGCCACGAUAUCUUUCACCUAAAGGGCUCUAAAAAUAUUUAAUCACGAAUCAUGCUCCUUGAUUUUGAUAUUCGACUUAAGAUUAGCUAAGACCUUCAGUCCUCAAAACAUAAUUUUAUCCGAUAGAUGAUUCAAUUUUCUAGAAGAUUGGCUAGUUUUAAAUGCUUAAUUUAAUUUUAUUGUGCCUAAAAUAAGGUUUGAACAAAAAAGGUCAAAAAUAAAACGUAAUGAAAUGGA